AUAAUACAUUUUUUUCUCUUUCCUUUCAAUCCUUUCAAGCAUUCCCUUUACAGCAAUGUUAAGCUAAACAUAUCCAAUUGAAGUCGUUUUGUUUAUUGUACAGCUGCUGUCGCUCCUGGAGUUGCAUUGGAAAGCUAAGCUCAUGGAGCAGAAAAGAGAAAGUUCCCUGACAUCAUCUAGAGAGAGGGCCAGCUCCCAGACAUCCAAUCGCAGUUGGAGAGAUUUUAGUUUGAGUGGAAGUCUUUUUGCAUUUUCUUCAAUUUUUUUUUGUAUUUUCAAAUUUUGAAUUUUGAAUUUUUAAAUUUUUAAUAAUAAAAUAAAAAUAAAAAGCAGUAAAAUAAAUAAAAUAAGAAUAAA
rnacentral:lncRNA from 1 species